CUACCAGGGUAUCUAAUCCUGUUUGCUCCCCACGCCUUCGAGCCUCAACGUCAGUUUUCGUCCAGCAGGCCGCCUUCGCCACCGGUGUUCUUCCUAAUAUCUACGCAUUUCACCGCUACACUAGGAAUUCCGCCUGCCCCUCCGAUACUCAAGUCGCACAGUUUCCAAAGCAGUCCCGUGGUUAAGCCUCGGGAUUUCACUUCAGACUUGCGCAACCGUCUGCGCUCCCUUUACACCCAGUAAAUCCGGAUAACGCUUGCCCCCUACGUAUUACCGCGGCUGCUGGCAC
rnacentral:rRNA from 1 species